rnacentral:rRNA from 1 species
CCUACGGGUGGCAGCAGUGAGGAAUAUUGGUCAAUGGGCGCGAGCCUGAACCAGCCAAGUAGCGUGAAGGAUGACUGCCCUACGGGUUGUAAACUUCUUUUAUAAAGGAAUACAGUGAGGCACGUGUGCCUUUGUGUAUUUACUUUAUGAAUAAGGAUCGGCUAACUCCGUGCCAGCAGCGGCGGUAAUACGGCGGAUCCGAGCGUUAUCCGGAUUUAUUGUGUUUAAAGAGAGCGUAGAUGGGUUGUUAAGUCAGUUGUGAAAGUUUGCGGCUCAACCGUAAAAUUGCAAUUGAUACUGGCAGUCUUGAGUACAGUUGAGGUAGGCGGAAUUCGUGGUGUAGCGGUGAAAUGCUUAGAUAUCACGAAGAACUCCGAUUGCGAAGGCAGCUCACUAGACUGCCACUGACACUGAUGCUCGAAAGCGUGGGUAUCAAACAGGAUUAGAUACCCUAGUAGUC